CAGGUAGCUCAGUAGGUAGAGCAAAGGACUGAAAAUCCUUGUGUCAUCAGUUCAAUUCUGAUUCUGGG
rnacentral:tRNA from 1 species